GAUGAAGAACGUAGCGAAAUGCGAUACUUGGUGUGAAUUGCAGAAUCCCGUGAACCAUCGAGUCUUUGAACGCAAGUUGCGCCCGAAGCCACUAGGCCGAGGGCACGCCUGCCUGGGCGUCACACGCCGUUGCCCCCCCAUCUACUCCUUCGGGAUUGCGGGGGGGCGGAUGAUGGCCUCCUGUGCGCCUAGCCGCGCGGUUGGCAUAAAUACCAAGUCCUCGGCGACGCACGCCACGACAAUCGGUGGUUGCGAAACCUCGGUUGCCCGUCGUGUGCGUUCGUCGCGCAUCGAGGGCUCGAAAAAAUGCUCGGCUCCGGCUGGGCUUUCAACGCGACCCCAGGUCAGGCGGGGUUACCCGCUGAAUUUAAGCAUAUCAAUAAGCGGAGGU
rnacentral:misc_RNA from 1 species